GACGACGCUGGCGGCGUGGAUUAGGCAUGCAAGUCGAACGGUAUCAUCCUUCGGGGGUGAGAGAGUGGCGAACUGGUGAAGUAACACGUAGGUUAUCUACCCUCAAGACGGGACAACCCAGGGAAACUUGGGCUAAUACCGGAUGUGAGCAACUUUUAGUUGUUUGAAAGGUGGCGUAAGCUGUCGCUUGGGGAUGAGCCUGCGUCCUAUUAGUUAGUUGGUGAGGUAACGGCUCACCUAGGCAAUGAUAGGUAGGCGGCCUUAACGGGUGGUCGCCCACACUGGGAUUGAGAUACGGCCCAGACUCCUACGGGAGGCAGCAGUCGAGAAUAGUCUACAAUGGUCGGAAGACUGAUAGUGCGACGCCGCGUGAACGAAGAAGCCCUUCGGGGUGUAAAGUUCUUUUAUAUGUGAGCAGUGCUUUCUAUGUGAACAGCAUGGGGAGAGAGAUAUUAGCAUAUGAAUAAGCAACGGCUAACUCCGUG
rnacentral:rRNA from 1 species